GAAAUGCGAUAAGUAAUGUGAAUUGCAGAAUUCAGUGAAUCAUCGAAUCUUUGAACGCACCUUGCACCCUUUGGUAUUCCGAAGGGUACACCCGUUUGAGUGUCAUUGUAAUCUCACACUCUUCGACUUUUUGUCGACCAGUGUGGACUUGGAUGUUGCCGUGUAACAAACGGCUCGUCUGAAAUGCCUGAGUGUACCCUGCUUUGCGGCGUAUUCGGUGUGAUAAAUCUUCACUGGAGUCUGACUCUCGAGUCGCGCUUGUAUUGUUGGCUCUAUGCUUCCAACCGUCCUAACAAGACAAUCUUUGACAAUUUGACCUCAAAUCGGGUGGGACUACCCGCUGAACUUAA
rnacentral:misc_RNA from 1 species